rnacentral:tRNA from 1 species
AGGAUUAAUAGUUAAUAUAUAAUAAAAGUUUUGUAAACUUUAGUAAACUUAGGUUUUAGUCCUA